UGGUGGGUAGUUUGACUGGGGCGGUCUCCUCCUAAAGAGUAACGGAGGAGCACGAAGGUUGGCUAAUCCUGGUCGGACAUCAGGAGGUUAGUGCAAUGGCAUAAGCCAGCUUGACUGCGAGCGUGACGGCGCGAGCAGGUGCGAAAGCAGGUCAUAGUGAUCCGGUGGUUCUGAAUGGAAGGGCCAUCGCUCAACGGAUAAAAGGUACUCCGGGGAUAACAGGCUGAUACCGCCCAAGAGUUCAUAUCGACGGCGGUGUUUGGCACCUCGAUGUCGGCUCAUCACAUCCUGGGGCUGAAGUAGGUCCCAAGGGUAUGGCUGUUCGCCAUUUAAAGUGGUACGCGAGCUGGGUUUAGAACGUCGUGAGACAGUUCGGUCCCUAUCUGCCGUGGGCGCUGGAGAACUGAGGGGGGCUGCUCCUAGUACGAGAGGACCGGAGUGGACGCAUCACUGGUGUUCGGGUUGUCAUGCCAAUGGCACUGCCCGGUAGCUAAAUGCGGAAGAGAUAAGUGCUGAAAGCAUCUAAGCACGAAACUUGCCCCGAGAUGAGUUCUCCCUGAGACUUAGAGUCUCCUGAAGGAACGUUGAAGACGACGACGUUGAUAGGCCGGGUGUGUAAGCGCAGCGAUGCGUUGAGCUAACCGGUACUAAU
rnacentral:rRNA from 1 species